AGCUUAGGCGAAAAGUACUUCUACCCGAAAAUAUGAGUUGGAUCCCCCUAAGAGAAAAGGCUCUACCCGGGUUAAGCUACAUAAAACAUCCUGAGCAAAAAGUACUUCUACCCGGAACUAUGAGCUGGAUCCCCCUAGGUGAAAAUGUUCUACCUGGGUUAAGCUACGAAAGACAGCCUGGGCAAAAAGUACUUCUACCCGGAACUAUGAGCUAGAUCCCCCUAGGCGAAAAAGUUCUAUCUGGGUUAAGCUACAAAAACCAAUCCUGGGCGAAUAGUAUUUCUACCCGAAAACUAUGAGCUGGAUCCCCCUGGGCGAAAAGGUUCUACCUGGGUUAAGCUACGAAAAAUAAUCCUGGGCGAAUAGUACUUCUACCCGGAAACUAUGAGCCGGAUCCCCCUAGGCGAAAAUGUUCUACCUAGGUUAAGCUACGAAAAAUAACCUGGGCGAAGAGUACUUCUACCCGGAACCGUGAGCUGGAUCCCCCUAGGCGAAAAGGUUCUACAUGGGUUAAGCUACGAAAAACAACCUGAGCGAAGAGUACUUCUACCCGGCACUAUAAAUUGGAUCCCCCUAGACGAAAAUAUUCUACGUGGGUUAAGCUACGUAAAACAACCUGGGAGAAAAGUACUUCUACCCGGAAAUAUUAGCUGGAUUCCCCUAGGCAAAAAGGUUCUACCUAAGUUAAGCUACGAAAAGCAACCUGAGCGAAUAGUACUUCUACCCGGAACUAUGAGCUGGAUCCCCCUAGGCAAAAAAGUUCUAUCUGAGUUAAGCUACGUAAAACAGCCUGGGCGACAAGUACUUCUACCCGGAAAUAUUAGCUGGAUCCCCUUAGGCAAAAAUGUUCUACCUGGGUUAAGCAACAAAA
rnacentral:lncRNA from 1 species